UUGAUUCAUUUAAUAAAUCACUCAGACUGCAUUGUUACGCAAGAGUUUGGUUAGGUCCACCGGGGGGACCGGGGCGCCCUUCGGCGGCGGUCUCCCCCGAGGCAACGCGGUCGGACGACAGUGGGUUGUGUUUUUACCCCCGCGGCUAAGCCCCGAUCUCUCGGGGCCGCGGCGUGGGUUUGGCACUUUUAAUGAUCCCUCCGCAGGUUCACCUACGGAGA
rnacentral:misc_RNA from 1 species